rnacentral:ncRNA from 1 species
GCUUCAGGGCAGGGUGUGAUUCCCUACCGGUGGUUAUAGCCCACGAGCCGCAAGGCAGAAUCGGUGUGAUUCCGAUGCCGACAGUAUAGUCUGGAUGGAAGAAG